rnacentral:rRNA from 1 species
ACGUAGGGCGCGAGCGUUGUCCGGAAUUAUUGGGCGUAAAGAGCUUGUAGGCGGUUUGUCGCGUCUGCUGUGAAAGGCCGGGGCUUAACCCCGUGUAUUGCAGUGGGUACGGGCAGACUAGAGUGCAGUAGGGGAGACUGGAACUCCUGGUGUAGCGGUGGAAUGCGCAGAUAUCAGGAAGAACACCGAUGGCGAAGGCAGGUCUCUGGGCUGUAACUGACGCUGAGAAGCGAAAGCAUGGGGAGCGAACAG